CUUGGACUUGGCGCGUAAAUGGAGUCACACAGGAACACAGGGCCCAGCUGAACCCAGGAUGUCCACAACUACGACAACAACAUUGAUUUGCAUGCCCCUAUUCGUGGUGGGACUGCUUAUUGUGUUGCUUGCACUUGUCACGUGUAAGCGGCGUGGCUUGAUUUAUAAGAUGCCCACAGCCAGUAUGGAAGCAGCGGUGACAGAUGAUGCAGGGACCCAACUGCAACCCUUGUGCAACAGACCUGCACACUUACACAAACACCUUGAGGAGAAUUCACAGUUCACAGACAAAGAGGAAGAGAUAAACGGAACGGGUAAACAAACAUAACUUAAGCAAGUUGAGUGAGUUCAGGUUGGCAAGCUGGAACAGCUGCCAAGCCAACGAUCGUUGAUGGAAAUUAUACGGUGUCUGACAGAGGACAGGAUUUGCAGCUAAGUCCCACAGAGACUCUCUGGAGGUGAGGGUGUACCCCCUCACUCUGAACUUUCCAUUUCAGUGAACCUCCCAUAAGGUAAAAAUGUAUAUUGCCAAUAAAGGUGUCAAGAAAAUAACUCAGGUGAUAACAAGUAGCAUUAGUAGCAGGUGAUAACAAGUUGUAAAUUUCCUUGUGCUAUUGCAUGGGGACCUCCCACUGUGGCCUAUCCUCUCACUGUCACAUACAAGUACUCAUAGCCAGCAACCUAACCAAUAUAACAACUGCCCAACCAUAGAUCCUGAUGCGACAACAAAGCACAACUGGCUGGAGACAGCUGAAACAUGUCCUGCUUAUUGAGCCCGGGAUCUAUAAAGAUAAAUCCUUCACAUUACAACAUGCACUGUCUGUAGCCCGCAAGUGCUAAACACAACAACAUGACUGCCCAACCAUAAAACCUGAGCAGCAGGAUACAAGAACAUCGACAAAGCUGCCUUCGGGACCAUUUCACUGUUUUUUUUUUCAAGCAGGCACCUUCCUUCUUCAGUGUUUUGUUUAAGUAGGCCCACGGUACUUCCAGAAGGCAUCUGUCUGGCAUCAUACUCACCAUGGGUUAUAAUACAUACCACUACCAGAGACAACAACAGAUACACAACUCAAAAUACAACUCGACAAGAUUUCACAUAUUUCAGUUCUAGUUCAAGUUCAUUCAUGUCCCCAAGUCACUUCUUAUCUGUGCAACUUCCCUGUUGUUCUUGGCUCAUGUAAAGGUAUUUGUGUGUUAACCCACUUAAGCUGUGAAUGACACGCUUAAUGAUUGAGCCUUCUGUUUGUGGUGGAACAUUCCAGUGGUGGUUGCAUCUUUCAAAAUAUAUGAAAUACUUAAGACAAUUUCCAACAGCAAAACAGUAAUUAAUAGUUAACUCUCUUUUGAUACCGUUUUUGUUCUAAUGUCAUGACCUUGCUAUUUUAUUUGAUGUUGCUAUUUUAUAAGAUGUUUUUGUGUGUGUGUGUAUGUGUGUGUGAGAGAGAGAGAGAGAGAGAGAGAGAGAGAGAGGGUGGUUGGGGGAGAGUCUGGAAGACAGAAAAGGAGACAGGAAAUGACAGGGAUGGCCAGUAGGUGUCAAUGUUGCACUUUAGCAUUUUGAAAAUAAUCCGCUUUUAGCUUUUGAGGAGCACUCACCUAGUCCGUCUAAAAUGACUCUUUCCCUGCCAUAGUGACCUAUUAGGCAUAGACAAAGACUGCCAACCAACAUAAACUCUAUUGGGCACGAUGACUACAGAACAAACAAGAGGAUUGUUCAGUUCCAAACUCAUGUAGUAGUAUUUGGGUUGUUGACCCUUGACACAAAAUCACCAUGGCUACUAUCUAGCUUUGUUCUUUGUCUGCACAGCUAUCUAGUGUGAUUGUAAAAUAUGUACAUGAAAGAAUAAAAUGAAGUCACUUAA
ensembl:lncRNA